rnacentral:lncRNA from 1 species
GGGAGAAGGGAUUCACAUAUGAAACAGGCUUGUUCCUAAUUUGAAUAAAAAAAUUUAAAGAAAAAAAAAAGAUUUGAGGCAACUUAAAAUGCUGAAGAAAUGAUCUGACAUCAGGCACUAGUGAAAUGUCCAGGGAUCUACAGAGAUGAUGACGACUAAGAGUCUAAGUAAGAAUGAAAAGGCUACCUUAAAUGCCAUUCCCCUGUAAUGAGAUUGCUGACUUCAUAACUAUAUGCUAGAGCCUUGAUCCAGCAUCUGCUGGAAGCAGAAGCGAUGCGUGUUCCCUAAAUGAGAUUAACAACUUCCUUAUAUUCCAUCCUAGAGCCUUAUCCAGUAGCUGCUGGAAGAAGAAGCAAAUGCCUUUCCACAGUAGUGAGAUUGGUGACUACCUUAUAUCCAGUAGCUUCUGGAAGCAGAAGGGAAGGCCCUUCCCUUGUAAUCAGAUGAUGACUACUGUAUAUACCUUCCUGGAGCCUUCAUCCAGUAGCUGCUGGAAAAACUGAGUGACCGUCCCUGGUAAUGAGAUUGAUGCCUACCUUAUAUGCCAUCUUAGAGCCUUCAUCCAGGAGCCACAGGAAACAAAAUGGAAUGCACUUCCCAUAUAAUACGAUUGACACCUACCUUAAUGCCAUCCUAGAGCCUUCAUCCAGUAGAUUGUAGAGGCAAAAGGAAAUGCCCUUUCCCUAUGACAGAAUUGAUGGCUACAUUAUAUGCCAUGACACAGCCUUCAUCCUGUAGCUGAUAGUAGCAGAAGGGAAUGCCCUUCCCUUAUAAUGAAUUUGAUGAGUUACUAUAGAGGAUUACAAAGUGUAGUCAGAAAUAGAUUGAUCACCACUAGUUUAUUUGGGAAAAAUAUUCAAGCCAGAGUGCAACACGCCGGCUUUCACCUGAGCAGGAAGGACCCAUAAAUGCUACUCAGUCAGCUCAGCCUGGUGAAAGAGAGCCUUGUGCACGCCUGUUUCUUCCUGAAACCCUUGUUAGGUAACUAUGUGUGUGUGGUCAUUGUUACCUGUGACCUUCGGGAAGUGGACUUGGUGUUACCUCUAAUCCUGGUUUCUCCUUAAAAUUCACCAUUUGAUCUAAAGACGAUUUAAAUUGAACAGUGUAAAAUCUCUAUAGUUACCAAACAUAAAGGUGAAUUACAUAAAGAUAUAAUGGUUUUUUUUUUUUUUUGGUUCUUUGAGUCAAAGUUAAUAAUCCCUUAAUGCUUCCGAGUCAGUUCAGCUAGGUGAAAUAGAGCCUUGUGCAUGCAUCUUUAUUCCUGAAACCCUUGAAAGGUAACUCUGACCACGGUCAUGUUGGUGUGAUCAUUGGUACCUGUGACCUUCGGAAAGUGGACUUAGUCAGUCGUACCUCUAAUACUGGCCUCUACUUAAAAUUCUCCUUUUGGUCUACAUAGGAUUUAAAUUUAACAGUGGAAGUUAUCUAUAAUUACCAAACAUAAAGUUAAAUUACAUGAAACAAAAUCUUUUUUUUUUGUUUUUUUUGAACAUCGUUAAUAAUCCCUUAAAUGCUUCCCCAUCAGAUAAGCCAGGUGAAGGAGAGCCCUGUUCGUGCCUCAUUCUUCCUGAAUCCCUUGUUAGGUAACUCUGACCACGCCCAUGUGGGUGUGGUCAUUGGUACCUGUGACCUUCGGAAAGUGCAUUUAGGCAGUAUAACUCUAAUCCUGGUCGCUACUCAAAAUACCCCUUUCGGUCUAAGUAGGAUUUAAAUUUAACAGUGGAAGUUAUCUAUAAUUACCAAUCACAAAGUUAAAUUACCUGAAAAAAAAAUAUCUUUUUUUGUUUUUUUUUGAUACAUCUUUAAUAAUCCCUUAAAUGCUUCUCCAAAAGAUCACCAGGUGAAACAGACCCUUGUGCAUGACUCUUUCUUCC